rnacentral:rRNA from 1 species
UACGAAGGGGGCUAGCGUUGCUCGGAAUCACUGGGCGUAAAGCGCACGUAGGCGGCUUCUUAAGUCAGGGGUGAAAUCCUGGAGCUCAACUCCAGAACUGCCUUUGAUACUGAGGAGCUUGAGUCCGGGAGAGGUGAGUGGAACUGCGAGUGUAGAGGUGAAAUUCGUAGAUAUUCGGCGGAACACCAGUGGCGAAGGCGACUCACUGGCCCGAUACUGACGCUGAGGCGCGAAAGCGUGGGGAGCAAACAGG